UACGGAGGGUGCAAGCGUUAUCCGGAUUCACUGGGUUUAAAGGGUGCGUAGGUGGGUUGGUAAGUCAGUGGUGAAAUCCCCGAGCUUAACUUGGGAACUGCCAUUGAUACUAUCAGUCUUGAAUACCGUGGAGGUCAGCGGAAUAUGUCAUGUAGCGGUGAAAUGCUUAGAUAUGACAUAGAACACCAAUUGCGAAGGCAGCUGGCUACACGAAUAUUGACACUGAGGCACGAAAGCGUGGGGGAUCAAAACAGG
rnacentral:rRNA from 1 species